GCCCGCUACAGAAACUUAAAGGAAUUGACGGACCCCGCACAAGCGGUGGAUCAUGUUGUUUAAUUCGAUGAUACGCGAAGAACCUUACCAGGUCUUGACAUCCCCCGCGAUGCUUUAGAGAUAAAGCGGAGGUAUUCGGGGAGACAGGUGGUGCAUGGUUGUCGUCAGCUCGUGUCGUGAGAUGUGGGUUAAGUCCCGCAACGAGCGCAACCCCUAUUGCUAGUUACCAUCAUUAAGUUGGGGACUCUAGCGAGACUGCCAGUGAUAAACUGGAGGAAGGUGGGGAUGACGUCAAAUCAUCAUGCCCCUUAUGACCUGGGCUACAAACGUGAUACAAUGGCUGGAACAAAGGGAUGCGAAGCAGUGAUGUGGAGCGAAACCCAUAAAAACAGUCUCAGUUCGGAUUGAAGUCUGCAACUCGACUUCAUGAAGUCGGAAUCGCUAGUAAUCGCGGAUCAGAACGCCGCGGUGAAUACGUUCUCGGGGUUU
rnacentral:rRNA from 1 species